UACGGGGGGGGCUAGCGUUAUUCGGAAUCAUUGGGCGUAAAGGGCGCGUAGGCGGCCCGGUAAGUCAAAGGUGAAAUCCCUCGGCUCAACUGAGGAACUGCCUUUGAAACUGUCGGGCUUGAGUCCGGGAGGGGGUAGCGGAAUUCCCAGUGUAGCGGUGAAAUGCGUAGAUAUUGGGAGGAACACCAGUGGCGAAAGCGACUUCCUGGACCAAUACUGACGCUCAUGUGCGAAAGCGUGGGGAGCAAACAGG
rnacentral:rRNA from 1 species